rnacentral:rRNA from 1 species
UACGGAGGGUGCAAGCGUUAAUCGGAAUUACUGGGCGUAAAGCGUGCGCAGGCGGUAAUGUAAGACAGAUGUGAAAUCCCCGGGCUCAACCUGGGACCUGCAUUUGUGACUGCAUUGCUGGAGUGCGGCAGAGGGGGAUGGAAUUCCGCGUGUAGCAGUGAAAUGCGUAGAUAUGCGGAGGAACACCGAUGGCGAAGGCAAUCCCCUGGGCCUGCACUGACGCUCAUGCACGAAAGCGUGGGGAGCGAAACAAGG